GAUGAACGCUGGCGGCGUGCCUAAUACAUGCAAGUCGAGCGAACAGACGAGGAGCUUGCUCCUCUGACGUUAGCGGCGGACGGGUGAGUAACACGUGGAUAACCUACCUAUAAGACUGGGAUAACUUCGGGAAACCGGAGCUAAUACCGGAUCAUAUAUUGAACCGCAUGGUUCAAUAGUGAAAGACGGUUUUGCUGUCACUUAUAGAUGGAUCCGCGCCGCAUUAGCUAGUUGGUAAGGUAACGGCUUACCAAGGCAACGAUGCGUAGCCGACCUGAGAGGGUGAUCGGCCACACUGGAACUGAGACACGGUCCAGACUCCUACGGGAGGCAGCAGUAGGGAAUAUUGCGCAAUGGGCGAAAGCCUGACGGAGCAACGCCGCGUGAGUGAUGAAGGUCUUCGGAUCGUAAAACUCUGUUAUUAGGGAAGAACAAAUGUGUAAGUAAAUAUGCACGUCUUGACGGUACCUAAUCAGAAAGCCACGGCUAACUACGUG
rnacentral:rRNA from 1 species